GUUUGACCUCAAAUCAGGUAGGAAUACCGCUAACUUAAGCAUAUCAAUAAGCGGAGGAAAAGAAACCAACCGGGAUUGCCUU
rnacentral:rRNA from 1 species